rnacentral:rRNA from 1 species
UACAGAGGUCUCAAGCGUUGUUCGGAUUCAUUGGGCGUAAAGGGUGCGUAGGCGGCGCGGUAAGUCGGGUGUGAAAUCUCGGAGCUUAACUUCGGAAACUGCAUUCGAUACUGCCGUGCUUGAGGACUGGAGAGGAGACUGGAAUUUACGGUGUAGCGGUGAAAUGCGUAGAUAUCGUAAGGAAGACCAGUGGCGAAGGCGGGUCUCUGGACAGUUCCUGACGCUGAGGCACGAAGGUCAGGGGGAGCAAACGGG